UACGGAGGGGGCUAGCGUUGUUCGGAAUUACUGGGCGUAAAGCGCACGUAGGCGGACCAGCAAGUUGGAGGUGAAAUCCCAGGGCUCAACCUUGGAACUGCCUUCAAAACUGUUGAUCUAGAGUUCGAGAGAGGUGAGUGGAAUUCCGAGUGUAGAGGUGAAAUUCGUAGAUAUUCGGAGGAACACCAGUGGCGAAGGCGGCUCACUGGCUCGAUACUGACGCUGAGGUGCGAAAGCGUGGGGAGCAAACAGG
rnacentral:rRNA from 1 species